CGCAUACGUCCUACGGGAGAAAGGGGGCUUUGGCUUCCGCUAUUGGAUGAGCCUAUGUCGGAUUAGCUAGUUGGUGAGGUAAUGGCUCACCAAGGCAACGAUCCGUAGCUGGUCUGAGAGGAUGAUCAGCCACAUCGGGACUGAGACACGGCCCGAACUCCUACGGGAGGCAGCAGUGGGGAAUAUUGGACAAUGGGGGCAACCCUGAUCCAGCCAUGCCGCGUGUGUGAAGAAGGCCCUCGGGUUGUAAAGCACUUUCAGCGAGGAAGAACGCCUAGCGGUUAAUACCCGCUAGGAAAGACAUCACUCGCAGAAGAAGCACCGGCUAACUCCGUGCCAGCAGCCGCGGUAAUACGGAGGGUGCAAGCGUUAAUCGGAAUUACUGGGCGUAAAGCGCGCGUAGGUGGCUUGAUAAGCCGGUUGUGAAAGCCCCGGGCUCAACCUGGGAACGGCAUCCGGAACUGUCAGGCUAGAGUGCAGGAGAGGAAGGUAGAAUUCCCGGUGUAGCGGUGAAAUGCGUAGAGAUCGGGAGGAAUACCAGUGGCGAAGGCGGCCUUCUGGACUGACACUGACACUGAGGUGCGAAAGCGUGGGUAGCAAACAGGAUUAGAUACCCUGGUAGUCCACGCCGUAAACGAUGUCGACCAGCCGUUGGGUGCCUAGCGCACUUUGUGGCGAAGUUAACGCGAUAAGUCGACCGCCUGGGGAGUACGGCCGCAAGGUUAAAACUCAAAUGAAUUGACGGGGGCCCGCACAAGCGGUGGAGCAUGUGGUUUAAUUCGAUGCAACGCGAAGAACCUUACCUACCCUUGACAUCCUGCGAACCCGGAAGAGAUUCCGGGGUGCCUUCGGGAACGCAGAGACAGGUGCUGCAUGGCUGUCGUCAGCUCGUGUUGUGAAAUGUUGGGUUAAGUCCCGUAACGAGCGCAACCCUUGUCCUUAUUUGCCAGCGAGUAAUGUCGGGAACUCUAAGGAGACUGCCGGUGACAAACCGGAGGAAGGUGGGGACGACGUCAAGUCAUCAUGGCCCUUACGGGUAGGGCUACACACGUGCUACAAUGGCCGGUACAAAGGGCUGCGAGCUCGCGAGAGUCAGCGAAUCCCUUAAAGCCGGUCUCAGUCCGGAUCGGAGUCUGCAACUCGACUCCGUGAAGUCGGAAUCGCUAGUAAUCGUGAAUCAGAAUGUCACGGUGAAUACGUUCCCGGGCCUUGUACACACCGCCCGUCACACCAUGGG
rnacentral:rRNA from 1 species